rnacentral:lncRNA from 1 species
CAUCUCACAGCUCAGGCAGAAAGAAGAGUGAAAACUGAGGAAGAGACAGCAUUCAAGUAAUUUGCUCAAAGUCAUACAGCAAAGUGAUUGAAAUGCAUUUCCUUCUCUACCUGGUGAACUCCUACUUAUCCUUUAAACUCCUGCACAAAUGUCCCCUCAUUGAGAAGCCUUUCCUGACUCCUUCAGGCACAGCCUGUGGACUUGGUGUGGUGCACCCCAUACCCCCUUCUGUUACAGCACUGAUCUAUUUGUGUUAUGUGUUCACACAGCAACGGGGGUGACUUCUGUGUGCCGGGCACAAUACAGGAGCUUAGAAAAUCACAGUGAACAAAUAUCUGAAUCACUGCCCUCACGGAAUUUGUGGGGAAGGGUGACAUAGACCAUUAUCAAGUAAACACAAAUGAGAUAAUUUCAGGUAUAAUAGGUGCUAUUAAAAAAAAAAACAAACAAACAAAAAACAG